rnacentral:rRNA from 1 species
UACGGAGGGGGGCUAGCGUUGUUCGGAAUUACUGGGCGUAAAGCGCACGUAGGCGGCUUUGUAAGUUAGAGGUGAAAGCCCGGGGCUCAACCCCCGGAACUGCCUUUGAAACUAGAUAGCUAGAAUCUUGGAGAGGUCAGUGGAAUUCCAGUGUAGAGGUGAAAAUUCGUAGAUAUUCGGAAGAACACCAGUGGCGAAAGGCGCUGA